AAGUGUGUUGGUCAGGGUAUCCAAGACGUGAUCGAGGCAAACGUCAGGGCGUUGAAUGUCAGUAUCAUCAGUGCAUAUUGUGGCAAAUGCCACACGUUCUGACCCUACAUCAUCCUUGGCAAUAAGUUAGUGGACAACAACGCAUACUGCGGUGUAAACCUUUGGUCCGUUCCUUCUUCUAUAUAAAGUAAUUCUAUUCUAAUCUUGGCUUCAGAUCAGACCGGCAAUCAGUCAUGCUUCUCUUUCCACCAUCAUCUAUAUUUACGCACGUCGCCUAGUAGACGCAUGGCUGGUAAUACUCACGUAGAUGGCUGGUACCUGGCUGUAGUGAGGCUGUACAUCAGUUAGCGCCUGGUCACGCAUAGGCGGACACUCAUCGACGACUUGGCUGGUAUUGUGACGUAGGUUUCGUGCCUCCAGGACUCAUUGCUCACUGUGUGAUCAACCAUGCCGUCUGCAAUGGACUUCGGCACACUCGCGCCUGCACUGUUUAACCUGUACUUCUCUGCAGUAGUUGCGACGUGGCGGACCGCAUCUUCAGUUCCUGGCGUUGAUUUUCGGUAUCGUGUCGGCCGCAAGUUGGUGGGCGACAGAACAGCCAAGUCCCGACUCAGCCCAGCGUGCCUAACGGAAUCGCAGUUCGCCGACGAUGCAGCUUUGUACACCACGUCGCUCCCCUUUCUCGAGACCAUGGCGAACGAGUUCAUUGAAUGUGCUUCGCAGUGGGGGUUGACGGUCUGCAUCCAGAAGACCAAGGCAAUGGUAGUGAAUCUCCACCAUCCCCCGCCGGCAUCCGCCACCGUCGGUGACGACGAUCACAUCGACCUCGUCCAGGAGUUCACCUAUCUCGGCAGCACUCUCAGCACGGGUGGCUCCUUGGACAAGGAGGUCACCUCCAGACCGGCCAAGACUUCCCGCUUGUUUGGUAGGCUGUAGAAGCCCAUCUUCCAGUGCCGUGGCUUAUCUCUUCACAUCAAGAGAACUGUAUAAAAGGCUGUUGUCAUGCCGACGCUGUUUUACGGGGCAGAGACCUGGGCUGUUAAGGCUACACAUCUCCGCCGUCUCAACCGCUUCCACCGGUCCUCGAUCCGGGCUAUACUGGGCGUGUCCAGAUCCACUCAGCGAUCGGACCACCUCACCAGCAACGAGCUUGCCCGCAGAGCGAGGCUGCCAGCCGACAUCAAUGUGCUGCUUCGUGAGCAUUGUCUGCGCUGGCUUGAGCACGUUGCACGUAUGAGCCCCGAGCGGAUGCCUCAGAAAGUUCUCUUCGGAGAGUUGAUGCCGACACGACCCCACCAUGGACCGAAGAAGCGGUGGCGGGAUGUGCUUGCUGACGACCUGCAUGACGCGGACAUCCCUCAACAACACUGGUUGGCCAUGGCACAGGAUCGUCCCACCUGGCGACGGAAGAUCUCCAGUGACCGUCUCCCUCCCCCGGCUCCUCCACUCGCCAAGCCGUUCAGCUGCGCAUGCGGACGGUCGUUCCGCAGAAGUGGCGACCUCAAGCAUCAUCGGCAUUUCUGCCUGGCUCAUCAAGCCUAUCAUCGCCUCUGGCGAUGGGGCGUCACAAGGUCACUGUGUGUGUGUGUGUGUGUGUGUGUGCGUGGGUGCGUGCGUGCGUGCGUGUGUGCGCGCGCGUGCGUGCGCGUGCGUGCGUGUGUGUGUGUGUGUGUGUGUGUGUGUGUGUGUGUGUGUGUGUGUGUAACUUAUAAAAUGUUUUCAUAUAAUGUUUCUGCUGACACGAUAUGGUCAGUGGCUACGACUGUGUAUUGUAUACUGAUGUACAUUAUGAUUGUGUUGUGCCAGUCUUUGUCACUUACAGUGAUGUGUAGAACAUGAUAGUGACAGUGACUGUGUGACUUGCAAUGGGAGUGCUUGCAGGCAGGCUUGGA